rnacentral:tRNA from 1 species
GCCAAUGUAGCUCAGUUGGUAGAGCAAUUCACUCGUAAUGAAUAGGUCAUCGGUUCGACUCCGAUCAUUGGCUCCA